UACGGUAGGGGCUAGCGUUAUCCGGAAUUACUGGGCGUAAAGGGUGCGUAGGCGGUCUUUCAAGCCAGAAGUGAAAGGCUACGGCUCAACCGUAGUAAGCUUUUGGAACUGUAAGACUUGAGUGCAGGAGAGGUAAGUGGAAUUCCUAGUGUAGCGGUGAAAUGCGUAGAUAUUAGGAGGAACACCAGUGGCGAAGGCGACUUACUGGACUGUAACUGACGCUGAGUCACGAAAGCGUGGGUAGCAAACAGGAUUAGAUACCCCGGUAGUCCCUGAGCGGG
rnacentral:rRNA from 1 species